ensembl:lncRNA
CUUGUCGUUCAGGGACCAUGUGAGACCAAGCACACAGAAAUCUGGCUUUGCCUCAAUUCUUUAAUGAACAUUCUAAUACAACCAAGUCAAUGACAAAACGGUGUCACGUUUACAAAGACAGUGGCGUAGUUAGCCUCACAGCAGUAGUCAGCACAACACUGGAAGGAGAGACAAACCCAGGAAAAUGAGUUUGACGCGCAGUCAAUAGAUGUGUACAGUGACAGCAUCAUCGGGGAUGACUGCCAUUCUGGGUACAAAACAUUGGUCCCUGGACAAGUAUACCCCACUUUGUCCAUCAACCAUUCACAGUUCACCACAAAUUUCAAUACACAUUUUUUUUUUUCUUUUUUUUUUUUUCAAAGUGUCAAAAAAUAAAUUUUCCCGGCCUUCAGUGUAUGUAGACAUCAAUAAUGAUCAUAUAAAUCACAGUAGUCACAAAAUAGUUGGUGACACUUAACUCAAACCCUGUACUCAACCAGUAAUGCCAAAGUAGCUAAAGGGUAGCUUUUUGCAAACCAACUGAUACACUAUAGCUAGAACUGGUUACCUUGGUUUCCGCUGUUUGCAUCAUCAUUGUUGUUGACAAGAAACGACUCUCCAAGCAGAUACAACAGCUUUUGUUACAUCAUCUUUUGGAUAUAUAGUCAGUUCCAUAUUUACUGGCACAUUCGAUUAAGAUGAGCAAAAUAUGAAAAUAAAUAAAAUGUGUGUUAUAUAGCUGGUAAAUUCAAAUGUUAUAUUAGAAAGAUCUUUGGGUGUAAAGUCGUUGAUCCUGGUUAGCCCCAGAAGUGGAAACAAAAUAGAGGUAACAUCAACAAUCCUCCACCAUAUUUUACCUUAGGUGUAAGGAUUUUUUUUACAGAACCACCUUGAGGGUGAUGAAUGGCAUUGGAACUUAAAUUGCAUUGAAAUAGUGCUGUUUGUCCAUGCACCAGUGCUGGAUUUUGUAAAAAAAAAAAAGAUUAAAAAAAAAGCUAAGAAUAUGCUAUAUAUUUCUGGCAUAUCUUUUUUUGUUGUACACUUUUUUGCUCAUCUUUAUCAAGGAUUCUACUACAUAUUGGACAUUGCUGGGUUAGCUGGAUAUUUGACAAAAGGUUCAAGUCAAGUGUUACCAGAGCAUAUCCCUUAACACAGACAAAAUCACUAUAUAUACACAAACACACAAGUGCUCACAGACUGAAACAGUCGACGCAUCAUAAUCGCCGUAUAGCCUAGCGGCUAAAUGUGGUACUGUUCCUUUUUGCAGUUUAACAUAAAUGUAUUCAACAAGGAUUUUUAUUUAUCACUGUAAAUUAGACCUGGGUUUCAUUUAGGCUUACUCUACGAAGACGUUUUGACAACCGUGUAAAUCUCCUCAGGACAAGGGGACGUUUGUCAACCUAUUAGCUUCAAUUAGACAUAAAAAAUAUAUAUUUGCUUAUAUUCAGCCAAAAUUGAUAAAAGUCAAUUUGUCCAAUAGAUAUUUACACAAUGAUGAAAAUGGCAGGGUGGUGUAAGCCCAGACAGUACACAGACUUUUUAUGAAGUGGAUCUAAAAUGUCCUUAUGGAAGUAAUAAAUGGUAUAAGCACUGAAAGAGAUGCUUUUGCAAAGAUGCCACAAGGAUUUAUGGGUAUUAUGACUCAUACUACUUUCAUUGGGUGAUACCAAUGCUUUUCUCGCCUGUAGUCAAUAAGCAAAAGAUAAACUUUUAAUUUGCACAACCAUCAACAUGCACUGCCCAUAAAAAGGAC